rnacentral:rRNA from 1 species
AGAUACGGAGGUAGAGCACUGAAUGUCCUAGGGGGUAUUGCACCUACCGAAGACUAUCAAACUCCGAAUGCCGUCAUCUUAUACUUGGGAGUCAGACUGUGGGUGAUAAGAUUCAUAGUCGAAAGGGCAACAGCCCAGAUCGUCAGCUAAGGUCCCUAAAUGUAAGUUAAGUGGUAAAGGAUGUGGGAUUGCACAGACAACCAGGAUGUUGGCUUAGAAGCAGCCACUCAUUCAAAGAGUGCGUAAUAGCUCACUGGUCGAGUGAUCCUGCGCCGAAGAUUUCCGGGGCUAAAACUUACUACCGAAGCUACGGCAUCAGUAAUGAUGGGUAGGGGAGCUUCCCAUACGGGUUGAAGCAUGACCGUAAGGACAUGUGGACAGUAUGGGAGUGAGAAUGUUGGCAUGAGUAGCGAGAUGUGGGUGAGAAUCCCACAGGCCGUAAACCCAAGGUUUCCAGGGGAAGGUUCGUCCGCCCUGGGUUAGUCGGGACCUAAGCUGAGGCCGAAAGGCGUAGGUGAUGGACAACAGGUUGAUAUUCCUGUACUACCGAUAACCAUUUGAGAGAAGGGAUGACACAGUAGGAUAAGCUAAGCACACUGUUGGUUAUGUGUGCCCAAGCAUUGAGGCAGUCAAAGUAGGCAAAUCCGCUUUGAUAAUGCUGGGAUGUGAUGGGGAGCGAAAUUUAGUAGCGAAGUAGCUGAUUUCACACUGUCAAGAAAAGUCUCUAUCGAGGUUAAAGGUACCCGUACCGCAAACCGACACAGGUGGGUGAGGAGAGUAUCCUAAGGCCAGCGAGAGAACUGUUGUUAAGGAACUCGGCAAAAUGACCCCGUAACUUAGGGAUAAGGGGUGCCACCAUCAGGUGGCCGCAGAGAAUAGGCCCAAGCGACUGUUUACCAAAAACAUAGGUUUCUGCUAAGUCGCAAGACGAUGUAUAGGAGCUGACGCCUGCCCGGUGCUGGAAGGUUAAGGGGAUCUGUUAGAG